rnacentral:rRNA from 1 species
GAUUUACAUUUGAGUGAGUGGCGAACUGGUGAGUAACACGUGGGAAACCUGCCCAGAAGCGGGGGAUAACACCUGGAAACAAAGCUAAUACCGCAUAACAACUUGGACCGCAUGGUCCGAGNUUGAAAGAUGGCUUCGGCUAUCACUUUUGGAUGGUCCCGCGGGGUAUUAGCUAGAUGGUGGGGUAACGGCUCACCAUGGCAAUGAUACGUAGCCGACCUGAGAGGGUAAUCGGCCACAUUGGGACUGAGACACGGCCCAAACUCCUACGGGAGGCAGCAGUAGGGAAUCUUCCACAAUGGACGAAAGUCUGAUGGAGCAACGCCGCGUGAGUGAAGAAGGGUUUCGGCUCGUAAAACUCUGUUGUUAAAGAAGAACAUAUCUGAGAGUAACUGUUCAGGUAUUGACGGUAUUUAACCAGAAAGCCACGGCUAACUACGUGCCAGCAGCCGCGGUAAUACGUAGGUGGCAAGCGUUGUCCGGAUUUAUUGGGCGUAAAGCGAGCGCAGGCGGUUUUUUAAGUCUGAUGUGAAAGCCUUCGGCUCAACCGAAGAAGUGCAUCGGAAACUGGGAAACUUGAGUGCAGAAGAGGACAGUGGAACUCCAUGUGUAGCGGUGAAAUGCGUAGAUAUAUGGAAGAACACCAGUGGCGAAGGCGGCUGUCUGGUCUGUAACUGACGCUGAGGCUCGAAAGUAUGGGUAGCAAACAGGAUUAGAUACCCUGGUAGUCCAUACCGUAAACGAUGAAUGCUAAGUGUUGGAGGGUUUCCGCCCUUCAGUGCUGCAGCUAACGCAUUAAGCAUUCCGCCUGGGGAGUACGGCCGCAAGGCUGAAACUCAAAGGAAUUGACGGGGGCCCGCACAAGCGGUGGAGCAUGUGGUUUAAUUCGAAGCUACGCGAAGAACCUUACCAGGUCUUGACAUACUAUGCAAAUCUAAGAGAUUAGACGUUCCCUUCGGGGACAUGGAUACAGGUGGUGCAUGGUUGUCGUCAGCUCGUGUCGUGAGAUGUUGGGUUAAGUCCCGCAACGAGCGCAACCCUUAUUAUCAGUUGCCAGCAUUAAGUUGGGCACUCUGGUGAGACUGCCGGUGACAAACCGGAGGAAGGUGGGGAUGACGUCAAAUCAUCAUGCCCCUUAUGACCUGGGCUACACACGUGCUACAAUGGAUGGUACAACGAGUUGCGAACUCGCGAGAGUAAGCUAAUCUCUUAAAGCCAUUCUCAGUUCGGAUUGUAGGCUGCAACUCGCCUACAUGAAGUCGGAAUCGCUAGUAAUCGCGGAUCAGCAUGCCGCGGUGAAUACGUUCCCGGGCCUUGUACACACCGCCCGUCACACCAU